CACACAUAACACUUUUACUUUCCUUAGUAUUUCCUUUUCACACCAGUUUCUACCUCUACUUCGGUUCAAUCAUGUAACAGCUUUAGUUAUUUUACAAAUUAAGAUUUUUGUACAUAAACCAUACAAUGAACUUAUACGAUGUAUUGUUGUAAAUCAAACCACCCAACAGUUUAUACAGUACAGCAGAAACUUAAAAAAAACUAAACCGUUACGACAGGCAUGCUGAUUUUUAACAAACCAGUGAAUCAAAUAAUGGAGGAAAUUAUCAGUGGAUUAAAGAUAAUCUUUAGUUGUAGUUAAUAGAUCAAAAUGAGAUUCCACAAUAAAAAAGUAAAAUCCUGCUUUUACAUGAAGUAAUAAUAUAUAAAGUAUAAUAAGGCUCACUUUCUCUGCAUUGAGUAUUUGUACUCAAAUACAAUGCUGGAGUGCUUGAAUAAAAAUCAUAAUGCAUUAUACAGCAGAGUGUCAACUAAGGCAGGAAAGAGUGAUAGCGAAUAAACACGAAUGGAAGUGAUGAUGCAUUUGAACAUCAGCUUUGAAAGAGAUUAACAAGGAAGUAAAAGCAUUCAACAUGUUAAACCUCAAAGAUACACAAAACAGGAAGUGAACUUAAACAGACCUUGUGUUUAACUGAAACAAGACAUUUGACAAGAAUUAAACUAAAUUUCUUGUCUCCAUAUAUAAAGCAGACAAUAAGCAUUUGUAUUUUUGAUCUCCUCAUUAAUAGUAAAGGUAAAAAAGCCCAACACCCAGUCUUCUUUUAGCUCCACUUUGGUCCCCACCAGCUCCUCAAGGAAAUAUCCAAUUCGUUAGCUGCUAAAUGUUCCACCGUGUUUAGCUACUAGUUGUCUAUUUGCCAUUUUAUUGCUGGGAAGGUCACACAAAAGGGCUUGGUUUGCUCGAAAUUGGGCAGAUGAGCUUUAAAACUGAACCAAAACAGUAAAAUUGUGUAUUGAAAACCAAAACAAUGAGCUGAAAGACACCAAAAUGCUCCGUAGAGUUGGGGGGAGCUUCAAACUGUAAUAAUUCUCUGUAGAUAUAUCGUUACUCUACUCAAACAAAAAGGGACUGAUAGAUUAUUUGGUAAAGUCAAACUCACAGCUUACACCCUCACCACAUAUUUAGACAGUUUAAAUUAUUCAAUAAACCCAGAGAUUUGUGUAAUGUUCCACUUUCCAGUUAGCUACUCUGCUAAGAAUCCUGAAACAACGUAUUAAACCGAAUGUUUUUUAUUUGUGUAUUUUUGUACUAAUCUGGGAAAAGGUGUCAGAUCGAAAGUGAAAAAUUAUUUGUCUCAUAUAUGCAUUUAUUUGUAAAUAAAUAAUAUCUUUUAUAU
ensembl:lncRNA